rnacentral:rRNA from 1 species
GACGAACGCUGGCGGCGUGCUUAACACAUGCAAGUCGAACGGAAAGGCCCUGCUUUUGUGGGGUGCUCGAGUGGCGAACGGGUGAGUAACACGUGAGUAACCUGCCCUUGACUUUGGGAUAACUUCAGGAAACUGGGGCUAAUACCGGAUAGGAGCUCCUGCUGCAUGGUGGGGGUUGGAAAGUUUCGGCGGUUGGGGAUGGACUCGCGGCUUAUCAGCUUGUUGGUGGGGUAGUGGCUUACCAAGGCUUUGACGGGUAGCCGGCCUGAGAGGGUGACCGGCCACAUUGGGACUGAGAUACGGCCCAGCCUCCUACGGGAGGCAGCAGUGGGGAAUAUUGCACAAUGGGCGGAAGCCUGAUGCAGCAACGCCGCGUGCGGGAUGACGGCCUUCGGGUUGUAAACCGCUUUCGCCUGUGACGAAGCGUGAGUGAGGGUAAUGGGUAAAGAAGCACCGGCUAACUACGUG